CCUACGGGAGGCAGCAGUGGGGAAUAUUGCGCAAUGGGCGAAAGCCUGACGCAGCGACGCCGCGUGAGGGAUGACGGUCUUCGGAUCGUAAACCUCUGUCAGCAGGGAAGAACGGUCACUGUGCUAAUCAGCAGUGAAUUGACGGUACCUGCAAAGGAAGCACCGGCUAACUCCGUGCCAGCAGCCGCGGUAAUACGGAGGGUGCGAGCGUUAAUCGGAAUUACUGGGCGUAAAGCGCUCGUAGGCGGUAUGUCAAGUCAAGGGUGAAAUCCCCGCGCUCAACGUGGGAACUGCCGUUGAAACUGGCAGACUGGAGUGUGGGAGAGGAUAGUGGAAUUCCAGGUGUAGGAGUGAAAUCCGUAGAUAUCUGGAGGAACAUCAGUGGCGAAGGCGACUAUCUGGCACAUAACUGACGCUGAGGAGCGAAAGCGUGGGUAGCAAACAGGAUUAGAUACCCUGGUAGUC
rnacentral:rRNA from 1 species